rnacentral:lncRNA from 1 species
AACGACUCAGACCUUGGCCACAAAAACCAUUUUCUUAUGAAUCUAGGCCUGAAGCUGUGGCGACACCGAUGAUCAUCGGUUCGGCAAUAAUUUCAUCAUGGAAUUGAUGGGUGAAGGAGUGAAAUACCAGACUAAAGGAAGUUGAGAUUCGACCAUCAAUCUGAACUGAUCGAUUAAUAUUAGUCAUCUGCAAGUAAACACUGUCUCCGGGUACCUCCGUCUCAAAUAUAAAGAAGCCGAAGAANNNNN